CAAAUCAGGUAGGAUUACCCGCUGAACUUAAGCAUAUCAAUAAGCGGAGGAAAAGAAACUAACAAGGAUUCCCCUAGUAACUGCGAGUGAAGCGGGAAAAGCUCAAAUUUGUAAUCUGGCGGUCUUGGGCCGUCCGAAUUGUAAACUAGAGAAGCGUUAUCCGCGCUGGACCGUGUACAAGUCCCCUGGAAUGGGGCGUCAUAGAGGGUGAGAAUCCCGUCUUUGACACGGACUACCAGGGCUUUGUGAUGCGCUCUCAAAGAGUCGAGUUGUUUGGGAAUGCAGCUCAAAAUGGGUGGUAAAUUCCAUCUAAAGCUAAAUAUUGGCGAGAGACCGAUAGCGAACAAGUACCGUGAGGGAAAGAUGAAAAGAACUUUGGAAAGAGAGUUAAACAGUACGUGAAAUUGCUGAAAGGGAAACGCUUGAAGUCAGUCGCGUUGGCUAGGGAUCAGCCUUACUCUGGUGGGGUGUAUUUCCUUGUCGACGGGUCAGCAUCAGUUUUGGUUGCUGGAUAAAGGCCAGGGGAAUGUGGCACCUUCGGGUGUGUUAUAGCCCUUGGUCAGAUACAGUGGCUGGGACUGAGGAACUCAGCACGCGCAAGCUGUGCUUAGGAUGC
rnacentral:rRNA from 1 species